rnacentral:tRNA from 1 species
GCCUGGGUGGCUUGGUCGGUUAAGCGUCUGACUUCGGCUCAGGUCAUGAUCUCACAGUCCGUGAGUUCGAGCCCCGCAUCGGGCU